rnacentral:rRNA from 1 species
UACGUAGGGUCCGAGCGUUGUCCGGAAUUAUUGGGCGUAAAGAGCUCGUAGGCGGUCUGUCGCGUCGGCUGUGAAAACUCGGGGCUCAACCCCGAGCCUGCAGUCGAUACGGGCAGACUAGAGUGCGGUAGGGGAGACUGGAAUUCCUGGUGUAGCGGUGAAAUGCGCAGAUAUCAGGAGGAACACCGGUGGCGAAGGCGGGUCUCUGGGCCGUAACUGACGCUGAGGAGCGAAAGCGUGGGGAGCAAACAGG